UGGGAACUUUGACUGAUGAGAACAAAAUUAUAAUGUUCUGUGCUGUAGGCGACAGCUUACUAAGAAUACUCUUUGGGAGAGAGGAUAGCACACGAUUCUAAGAACAAUUGUAGAAUGUGCCGAAACUAACAGGCAACAUCGUUACAUCGUCAUCGUCGCCGAAAAAAUCUAACCUUAUGGGCACCUGUGUAUUAAUGAAGAAAAUAUUUUCAUCAAAAGCGUCGCCCUCGAUUUGCCGGAAUAUCUCCGCUUCUUUAUCGCGCGCGAUUAUCCUCGCUACAUCACUCGGAGUCGAUUGAGGUUGCAAGGGCGGAGUAAGGUCGAAUUCUCUCUCGGAUAAACAAUAAUCGUAAUACGGAAACGACUGGGAUGAUCGAACGGAUAACGGCAAGGAAGCCAGUACCGAGUUUGUGUCGAGAUUUAACUCUGAAUUAAUCUGAAUGCGAGACGAUGUUGAAUGCGUUAGCGAUUUUUGGCUGCUCGUCUUCGCGUAGGAUGUACAUACGUAAAAUAGGGGGUCGUCCGUGACGCUGCCGUGGCUGGUCGAUUGUUGAAAUGAACUCGUCUCCAUCGCGUUCGGAUUGUAUACUUGCGACACGCUCACGAGAUUCGCGGAGUCCGACGGAGAUUCGCUUAUAGUAUCGUCCGAACUAACGAUCGACGUGCUCCUGUCGGCUUCAUCGCCCGGAAAUUGAUAUGUCGAGCAAAUUACGACACCUUCCUGUUUGGAUGAAUCCUCGUUUCGACAGUUGAUCGGCAAAGAUAUGGGCUCACGGACAGUCCUCGUUAACAACUCUUUCUCUGCUUCUCGGUGUUUCUCUCGUUGAUUCGUCGGAUCCGUGAGCGUCGAAUUGUUCCUCGGCGGAAGGGACGAUUCGACGGGAUGACUUUCGGCUUCCUCAUGUUUCCGGUGUUCCUUGUGUACUGUUUGCCGAGUCGCGGGCGAUUUCGCCGCUGGUUGUGCGGGAACUUGCGUCAUCUCCGCCGGCUGCUUCGCGAAUGCCACAGUUUUACGUUGCUUGGCCAGAUCCAACUGCUUCAUGAUACCUAUUAUAUUCACGAAAGCGAAUCGAUCGCUCUCCAUCAAUGCGUGCAAUUGAACGACCGCGUUGUAGCAUGAUUUCUCCCACGACACGUAAUCCGUAACUUGGGAUUUGAGAUUGCUCUGAAGAAGUUUAGAUAUAUGAAGGCGAUAUUGGAUACCGACAUAACGCAGUUUCGUAGUUUUCUCUUUCUUUCUAGUUGCAUGCAUCAAAUUGAAAAUGUUUUUGCAGAGUGAAAUAUUAAUGAAUGGCUAAACAGUUGCAUGAAAUGAACAAUAAAUUCUUUACACUUGAUUAAUAAACAAAAAAAUUUUUUUAUUUCACGUAACUGUUUAGCAUCAGUCAUUCAUUAACGAUUAUACUUUCAGCCUAUAAAAGCAUUGUCAAUUUGAUGCAUGCAAUUAGAGGAAAAGAGAAAACUACAAAACUGCGUUAUGUUAGUAUCCAGUAUCGCUUUAAAUGUAAAACAAUUCCAUAAUGAAUAUUCUGCGUGAACGACUCGAACCUGUGCAUCGACCGACUGUCGAGAUGCGUAUUCUCGUGCUUUAGACGUGACGCAUUUGGGUAGAGAGGAUACCUCUGCCAAAGCUAUACCGUAGUGGUCAGUGGGCGCUGUUCCAUUAUUUAACUUGUGAGUGUAUAUCAGGCGCAACUGGCCCGAUUCGUCCGACUCUGCCGUUUUCGUCUCGAAACAGUAACUAAAAAAAGAACAAACAAACGAUAACUAUCUGCCUGUUGGCAUUUUCGUCGUCCGGAAAAUUCAGAACUCCUUUAUGUAAGAGCGUUACGUACUUUGUCACAUUGUAAUACAUGUUACUAAGCGCGGUGAGGUGCAAAAAGUGCGUCACCGCGAACGUGAAUGCACUCGUCAGCAAUAAUUUCUCGCAAAUCGACCAAGCGAUGGCCGAACCCUCUUCGACCGUGGUGUGUCUGCAAAGCUCGUCCAGAAUAACGAGAGAUCGCGACGUGACGGAUUGCAAAAUGUACUGCGCCUCUUUCAUCUGUAAUAAACGUAUUCGAAAGUAAUUGAAAUCCAGCUUAGCUCUGCUCUGAAUGUGGUUUAAUUGUGCCGGAUUAUAUUGCACCUCGAGAACGUAGGCGGACGCGUUGAGUUCGGCGUCGUCGCGGGAACAUAUUCUGCAAAGUAUGCGAUCCGCGAUGCGAAACGUCGCCUUGGUCGCCGGCACGUAGGAGCCGAUCUACGGGCAACGAUAAGCGCGAUUGAAUGAUAAACGAAUACAUUAAUCGUUAAUCGAGAUAGCUAAUCGGCGCGUUGCGCCGUUACCUGCGCCAUAAUUUGAAGUAGAACGAUUUGCUUCAGGUAUGUAGAUUUGCCGCUCAUGUUCGGUCCGGUUAUAAGGUGAAAAUUAUGCGCGUUCGUUGCAUCCUGUUGGUUUGAAGCAGAUCGUUUGCAGAUUGGAAAAUUCCUCGGGAACAUGCGACCGAUCGAUCGGACAAUUUACUCGGCAAAUUGUUUGCCGUUAUGUUUAACACUCACUACGUUGUUGGGCACGGGAAGGUCCGUGUUAAAUAACUCCAUAAUGGGGUGCAACGAGUCUCUCAGCUCUAAUUUCGCCUCAAACGACGGUUUCACGUAUUCCGGAUUGCGACUGAUUUGCGCCAGCGACAAUACCAAAUCCAAUUCCGCCACGUCGGCACUCAGUUGGAACAGGCAACCGACGUGUUGCCUGAUGUCCUCCAGUAAAUGAGUCAGCAAGCUAUAAAUUGUUAUUUUAUUGAUGCAGCAAUAUUGACGCAAUAUACAUAUAUAUUUUUUUUUUUUUGUAUAAACUGUGAAUUGGUAAUUUAAUACUGCAUAAAAAAUAUAAAAAUAGGACGAUUGACUCACGUGUUGCUCAUCACAUAAAUCUCCUCGCAGGCUUUUCUGCAUUGCUUAUUUAAAGUCAAUAGCGCCGUCGUAGUCAUCGUGAAAGAUCUUCUGUUUUUUCUUACCUAGUAUUUUAAAGGUGUUACGUAAAGUUGAAAUUGCGCAUCGAUUAGUAGAAAUACGAGUUACCUGAAUAAAUUCCGUCGACAAGUCGAAAAUUCCAAUGUCCAGACUAUGCGGUAGGACCACGUGAAUGUGGUAGCCCAAGUUUACGUUGUACUCCAAAGAUAACGGGAGCUUGUGGUUGACAGCUAAUUGCUCUACUAAAUCUAUUUGAAGAAAUUCAUGAAAUUACGAGCUAUGUGCUUGUCUCUCUUUCUUGGCGCGUAUUAUCUGUUACACAUUACACAUCAAUACUGUUCUAAGACAUUACGAUGCCAUUUACUUUUCAUGUCGCUGAUUAACUCGCAGUAAAUUUGCCGCGCGACGUCUAACAGUUCGUUGAUACCGGCUUUUAUAGCGAAGCACCGUUGCAUACUUGACGAAGUGGAUCCCUUGACGAAUUUCGCGUCCGUGUGUAUCAGCGUCAUAAUCUUGUCCUUCAUGACUCUGAAUUCAUAAUUUCCUAAAUUCUGCAAGACGCGAGUUAUUGCGCGAAAAACGCGCAAUCGUUCGCGUUAGUAAUAAUCGACAAGAAUAUUGCGAUCAAGUGUGUCAAUAAGUUUCAACGAGAACACAGACCUUUCGCAUUUUUACGAAAAAAGCAUGAGUACCGGUCGCGAGAACGGCUUCCAAUUCCGGAACGGUGUCCAGACAACUUUUCAGAAGCAAAGCGUAGUUUAGGUUACGCUCCGCGUUUUGUACGUCAUUUGUGUUUAGAGGUUUGCUCGCUAAUGUCAGCAAACGGUCCGUGCCAAAGAGACGUUGCACCACCGGCUGCGAAGCACAUACAUUCUAUCUAAAUUUCGCAACUUGUAUACGCGAGGGUAUCGCAGCUUCAUUGACUUUUAUCAGCCGAUACAACGGCGAUUAAAAGCUUCACGGACGUGAGUUAGUCGUGAUUUUCUAACUGCGUCUACCUGAAGACUAGCGCAUAAAGAAUGUUUGGCGAUCAAUUCCGCCACGCAGGCCUGCCGGUCUACGAUCAAGCGUUCGUCGCAAGGGGGUUGAAGAAUAGAAGCGCGCAGCAGCCUCCUACCCAUAGGGGUCAAGCAACGAUCCAUAGUUCCAAGCAGACUGACGAUGGAAUGCUUGGACUGCGACACGACCAGUUCUAGACUCCGUGCACUCUCUAUAUCUGCGCAAUAACAAUCGCAAUGUAGUUUGCCGCCAACUUUUUUUUCUUUCUUUCUCUCUCUCUUUCUCGUUAGUGACGGGGCGGUUCGUUUAGUGCGGCUUACCGAUCAUCGUGGUAUUCGGUGAUCCUUGAAACUCUAUUCGCACCGACUUCGGCGCGUAAACCAUGUGCUGCACGUAUUCCACGUACUUCAGCAACGCCGCGGUCGCCGCUAAAGCGUAAUAUCUACAAUCGAAAUCAAUAGACCGUUUCAAUGCGCAGUCCACAGUCGUGUCGUUCGUUACUUAGUCCCGCUACUUAAUCGAUUUCGUUAAUAUUACUUUUGUUUCACUAUUAAUUCCACGGUCGAGUACUCUCUCGCGCACAGAGUUCGUACGCGUUCCAUGCCGUUCGAUUCGUUGAAGUGUGUCCGUAAAAUCGGCGUGAUGUUGAGCGCGUUGAAUUUCUCUUUGAUCAAUUUGUACAACUUGUUCGAGCAACCUCGACGCUCGCACAUUGUUUCGGGCAUCAGUAUCUGUUUGGGGAUAAAACAUUAUAUGACGCAGAUUAAUGAUGAUAGUAAUGGCAAAACGACGAUUAUAAAUAUAAAUAUAAUAUAAAUAUAAAUAUAAUAUAGAAUAUAAAUAGGAUAUAUAAAGAAUCAGUGCGUAUUUUUAUAUGAUGAAAUUAUACUGCGCACUUACUUCUAUUGGAUCGAGAAUAUGAAUUUUUGUCAAAGUAUUGACGUAUGUUUGGCAAUCGCUGAUUUGACAAAGAAUCAAGUACGGAUAGUGAAGAUCUAUCGCUGCCAGACCGACUUCGUUCCUGGCGUCGCCUCGGCCGGCUGUUAACGCUGUCGCGAGAAUGCGCAUCCGUGAAUAGCCGUGAAUAAAUCAUUUGAGAGUAAGGUAACAGCACCAAUUUUCGGACACGUAUCUAAUUCUGGAUGUUCUCAUUGUUUUGAUCUUUGAAUACGAGUAUUUAUAUUUUCAACACGGAAUGUAUAUGCAUAUUCAAUAUGUAUGUAUAUAUAUUUUUCAUGUUGAAGAUUAAAUUAUGCAGUAUUUAAGAACCAAAAUAAUAAGAAUGUACAGGAUUAGAUACGGUCCGAGUAUUGCUACUCUCUCUUUUACUUUACCUCUCAUAAUUUUAUGUUAUUUAUCAUUUGCUCACCGAUCACUACCGAAGAACUCACAUUGCUGGUUGUACUGAUCGAUGAUUUUGCAGCACUGGUCGAUCUAAGCGAAGCGAUCACGUGAGAAAUAACAUAUUUUGGCGUGUGAAAGAUAUCAGAAAUAAGAGCGUGACUUGGAAGUAGUUUGUAAACACAAGAUUUAUAGUUCACCCUCUACUACGACGAGAAACACUUGAUAGGUAGGACGUUGUGGAGACGCAAAUCUUCUUGUUACGUCCCCAAUUAUGUCCCGGCGUCUUUGUGUUCACGAUGGAACUCGCCGGCCCAGAGCUCGUUGAAGGUUUCGUGAAGUCGGCUUCGAAUUCUGUAUUCGUACGCGAAAAUUCAUGAGACGCGUGAGAAUCUUAGCUUCGAAUGACGAAUAUCAACAUUGACGAAUUUCUUAACACUGUGAACGUGCUAUUUGCAACACACACAGAGAGAAAAAAUACUUAAAAAUGUAUUUAUGUGGAAUAUAACUACAUUGAUAUACCCAAAGUAACUAAGUCAUAUCAACCAUACAUAUUACAUACACAUUACCAUUUCAUAAAGAUAACAAUGGUGAUACAACUACAUUGCUUAUACAUGGAAGAAACUCUAAGGUUAUCAUUUAUUUAAAUAUGAUUGCCAUAACGAAAUAUUAAUUUUAUUUUUCGCUUAUGCGUACGAGAUAAUAACCGUAAUACUCUAAAAAUGAUACACUAGCCUUCUUUGCCGCCUGGCUGCAACCAAACUCUAUAGGAUUUGUAUACGAAUCUCUCGAUCAUUGCAUUUGUUCUACAGUCCAUAACAGAGAGACAGUAGUAUUUUUUCGAUUGAAUUAUAUAUUUGGCAAUGUAUUUAUGUAUAUAUAUAACUGUAAUGUAACUAGACAUUAUGUAUCAUAAGAAUUAUGCUAGUGAGAACUGCAUAGAUAAAUAUGUAACAGCAACUUGUAAUACCGUAUUAACACUAGAUUUACGGGACAAUUUGACCGGAGAAAUAGAUAUGUACGACAUAGAGAAUUUCAAAAUUACAAGUCUGAGAAAUAAAUGAAUAAUUUAUUCGAUAUAUAUUCGUUAUCAUUCCAUUAAUAAAAUCCAACAAAAAUUGCUAGAAAAUAAUAAUAAUAGUUUCUGUAAUUUUGCUCGUGAAAUCCGAAACCCGUCAAAUUGACGGGUCCCGUAAAUCUAGUGUUAAUUUAACUUGAAAUUGCAUAAAUUCUCUCUAACCGUAGUAUAUACGGAUAUAGCAACUAUAACAGUUUUCCCUAUGCAACUGAAUAUUUCUGGUUAUGUGCACCAUAUCUUUUGCUUCGCCGUACACAAAUAAACUUUCAAGUAAACUUCAAGUUUUUUUCUCAGUGCAUAACACGUUCAACUUGACUUUCAGUAGCCAUUACGAUCGUUAGAGCGCCGUAGUUUUCGUGUGGCAAGGCGAGGCAUCGAUACUUACGAUGCUUAGGGAAAAGGUUCGUGAAUCGUUGCGUGUUUGGCCCUGCGAUCCUUCCUCUCGUGUAACCGCGUCGUCCUCUCAACGGAACAGGCUGUAUCACGUUCAUUUUACGAACGAGAAGCGGCGAGUGAGUGCCCGGCAACUUUACAGCGACGGCGGCACCGCACGAAGUUGUCCGCGCUAAGGUUCGAAUUUUUCAAAUACGGUGUGUGGCAAUCGAUCGGCUCCCGAUCGACUAACCGCGCAGUUCGAAAUUGGUUCGCGCGUCCUCAGGACGCAAGUACAAACGCCUCGACUUCUCAAUGAUAUAUUUAUUUACAAUUUCAUUCAAUCUUAUCGCUCUUAUCAAUUUCGCGAUGAACGUAUAUUCCGAUUAAUAAUAAAUAACACGAUCACAAUCACUAUCCCGCUCGCAAUAAAUAUCGUUUUAUCGUCGCCUCUUAAAAUUCAGAUUUACAUUUGUAUUUACAGUAUAGCGUAAUCAAAAUCGAUUGUCUCUCGGCUAUAUAUAUAUAUAUAUAUAUAUAUAUAUAUAUAUAUAUAUAUAUAUA